rnacentral:rRNA from 1 species
AGACAGAGGUGGCAAGCGUUGUUCGGAUUUACUGGGCUUAAAGGGCGUGUAGGCGUCCUGGUAAGUCAGAUGUGGAAGCCUUGGGCUCAACCCAAGAAUUGCAUUUGAUACUGCCGGGAUGGAGUCGUGCAUGGGAGGGCGGAAUUCCUGGUGUAGCGGUGAAAUGCGUAGAUAUCAGGAGGAAGGCCGGUGGCGAAGGUGGCCCUCUGGGCAAUGACUGACGCUGAGGCGCGAAAGCGUGGGGAGCAAACAGGAUUAGAUACCCUAGUAGUCC